rnacentral:ncRNA from 1 species
UAUAAUUAGGUCUGUGGUUGAAAGUCCAUGCCAGUCGCAGGCAAAGGGACCCACGUAAGGCAGCUUAAAAGCAGGGCUGCUGAGCAUGGUGCGGCUUAGGAGUAAGACCUGCCAGGAGAGUGGCGAGGCGGUUGAUGCGCAAGCUCGUCAGGGCUUCUGAGAGGAGUAGUAGUGACGGCGAACCCGGAGCAAACCUUCCAGCAGGCGAGUGUGGGGGCAAAGACCAGGUCAGCUAAAUAUA